rnacentral:rRNA from 1 species
UACGUAGGAGGCAAGCGUUGUCCGGAGUGACUGGGCGUAAAGGGCCUGCAGGCGGUCGUUCAAGUGGAUGGUUCCAGCUCCCGGCUUACCUGGGAGAGCGUCAUCCAAACUGGACGACUCGAGGGUCAGAGAGGGACACCGAAUUCCGGGUGGAGUGGUGAAAUGCGUAGAUAUCCGGAGGAAGACCAAAGGCGAAGGCCGUGUCCUGGCUGAUACCUGACGCUCAGGGGCGAAAGCUAGGGGAG